GGCGGGGUCUGCCGGCCGGAAGCCGCUGCUCCUCUGCCUCGGAGUGGCGGUGCGGUGUCUGCAGGGACCCGAAAAAUUAUGGCUGCCUUGGGGGAAACAAACUGUGCGUAACACUCCAGCUGGAGGCUGGGAGAAUUAAUUCCACUUUCAGUUUGGGCAGAGAUCAUUUCUCUUCUGGCGCCGAGGGCAGUCAGGGUGGGGCCGGCAGGGUGCCGGAGGUGCCACUGUCUGCAGAAGCAGGCCGUGCUGACCCCGGAGCGGCGCUGAGCCUGGUACUGACCUCGUGCAGGACAGGAACGUCAGCUGAUGACGCACAGGGAAGUGGCCCCAGGAGAAAGCUGCCGGCGUCAAUUACACUCUGCGGCUAUUCAUCCCUGGAACAGAAGGAAGCUCUGAGACAUUCCACACUGGUGCUGCAUCCGUCAGCCACCACACUCACUGCAGUUAGUCAGACACAGGAGCACAAAGGCAUCUGAGUCCCCGGGGCAGUGAGGCAUGAGUCUGGAGCCGUUCAUGCAUAGAGACACAAAAGGACACUGGCAUUCACCAGAGCUACCAGAGUGGACAAAGGAUCAAUGUCCUAUAUGUUAGUGGCAUUAAUUAUAUUCGUUACCAGACUUUGAAGUUCACACAGUUUGCC
rnacentral:lncRNA from 1 species